rnacentral:rRNA from 1 species
CACGCUGUAAACGAUAAUCACUAGAUGUCAGUCUGGCUUAGCCGGAUUGGUAUCGAAGCUAACGCGUUAAGUGAUUCGCCUGGGGAGUACGGUCGCAAGAUUAAAACUCAAAGAAAUUGACGGGGGUCCGCACAAGCGGUGGAACAUGUGGUUUAAUUCGUCACUACGCGAGGAACCUUACCUGGACUUGACAUGUAUUUGACAGUUGUAGAAACACAAUCUCUUAGGUUUCGAUCUAAGCAGAUACACAGGUGC